rnacentral:rRNA from 1 species
UGGGGAAUAUUGGACAAUGGGCGAAAGCCUGAUCCAGCAACGCCGCGUGAGGGAUGACGGCCUUCGGGUUGUAAACCUCUUUCAGCAGGGACGAAGCGCAAGUGACGGUACCUGCAGAAGAAGCACCGGCCAACUACGUGCCAGCAGCCGCGGUAAUACGUAGGGUGCGAGCGUUGUCCGGAAUUAUUGGGCGUAAAGGGCUCGUAGGCGGUUUGUCACGUCGGGAGUGAAAACUCAGGGCUUAACCCUGAGCCUGCUUCCGAUACGGGCAGACUAGAGGUAUGCAGGGGAGAACGGAAUUCCUGGUGUAGCGGUGAAAUGCGCAGAUAUCAGGAGGAACACCGGUGGCGAAGGCGGUUCUCUGGGCAUUACCUGACGCUGAGGAGCGAAAGUGUGGGGAGCGAACAGG